UGCACAGGAGAGUCCCUGAUACCCAGAGUUUACUGCCUAAGAGAGGAUACAUCCUUCAAACCAAUAAUCUGCUAAUAGCAAGAUCCAAUAGCUUCAUGGAUAUUGAAAGAAACUGAGAAUCAAAUUUGCAUACUUCUGAGUCACUUGGAAACAAAAAACAAGUACAGUCUUAGAUUCUGAGGGAACAAAAAUUAAAAAUCACAUUAGGAAGAGAAUUCCUAAUGUAGGAACUCGUCCUGGAAGAUUCUUCAGCAAAAGUACAGACAAUAAUAAUACUCCAUGAAGUUACCAUCGAUUUUGAAUGAAUUAAUGAAUGUAAAAACCUCAAAACCCUGCCUGGCCCAGAGCUUUGGAAUAGGUUUGGAUCUACCGCUCAACUGCUUUAUGACUUCAGACCAGUUAUUUAAAUUCCCUGAAGCUCAGUUUCCACAUCUUUGAGUUUUUAUUAAUGACCUGCCGACAUCAUACAGUUCAUGAAAUGCUCUGGAUGUGUACAUGCUGAUGAUACGACCUCAGACCCAGCAAGA